AGUGAACGCUGGCGGUAGGCCUAACACAUGCAAGUCGAACGGCAGCACAGUAAGAGCUUGCUCUUACGGGUGGCGAGUGGCGGACGGGUGAGGAAUACAUCGGAAUCUACUUUUUCGUGGGGGAUAACGUAGGGAAACUUACGCUAAUACCGCAUACGACCUACGGGUGAAAGCAGGGGAUCUUCGGACCUUGCGCGAUUGAAUGAGCCGAUGUCGGAUUAGCUAGUUGGCGGGGUAAGGGCCCACCAAGGCGACGAUCCGUAGCUGGUCUGAGAGGAUGAUCAGCCACACUGGAGCUGAGACACGGUCCAGACUCCUACGGGAGGCAGCAGUGGGGAAUAUUGGACAAAGGGCGCAAGCCUGAUCCAGCCAUACCGCGUGGGUGAAGAAGGCCUUCGGGUUGUAAAGCCCUUUUGUUGGGAAAGAAAAGCAGCAGGUUAAUACCCCGCUGUUCUGACGGUACCCAAAGAAUAAGCACCGGCUAACUUCGUG
rnacentral:rRNA from 1 species